CACAAAGAAAGGAAAGUUCUCUUGAAGUAGCAAUCAAGGCAUCAAGGUAAGAGAACGAAAAGUUGGCUUGGAAUCCUAGGAAAGGACCUGUCAGUUGGCCUUGAUCCACACCUGUCUCUGCUCUAGCAUCCUACUGCACAAGUGUAUGAUGGACCAGUAAGGGAACAGAGACAGGGGAGCCAAGCCAGUCUCCACCCUCUGCUAGCUGUAUUUAGCCACUUGCUUAGCUCCUGGCUUCAUUUUUCUCAGUUACACAACAGAAUUGAACCAGAUGAUCCUUAGAAACUCUCAGUUAGGAUUCCAUAAUUACUGUUAUCAUUUUUCUGCCUGUAUCAGGUGUUAAGAAUGUAACUAUACAAAUGAAAUUUCCAGGAAAAUAAAUUAAUCUUGACCUUAAAUAUA
rnacentral:lncRNA from 1 species